GAAGCUGUUAGCUCUCCCUCACUUGGAAGAUUCCUCGGCUAUGUGUCAACUACUAUGGUUGUAAAGCCUAGCCCUGUACUGGACUUCCUUUGUGAGAAUCAGAAUGUGAAACAUCCAGAUUUUAUUGAUUGGACCAAGGUGAUAUUGCUAUCUUUAUUUUAAUUGUAACAAGGUUCUGAUUUUUAUGUUUAUUGAACUGUGAUGCUUUCUUUUUGUUUACUUUCAAGCAAAAAGUGUGCUGAAAAACCUCAGAAUCAAGGUUAAUAAUCUUGAGUUUAAAAUCAGUGGACUCAGUGAUAAUACUUGCAGGACUCAGAAGUGCUACCCUGUUAUCAAGUCCAUCUAACAUUUUGUGUUCUCAUAUUUGUGUUUGCUCAGAGAUUUUUGGUCUAAUCCCUUCAACUUUUUGCUUGGAGUUAAGGUUAGUGCAAUUAUUGUGU